GAAGAAAGAGGGGGGCGUGCUUAACACAUGCAAGUCGAACGGAAAGGCCCUGCUUUUGUGGGGUGCUCGAGUGGCGAACGGGUGAGUAACACGUGAGUAACCUGCCCUUGACUUUGGGAUAACUUCAGGAAACUGGGGCUAAUACCGGAUAGGAGCUCCUGCUGCAUGGUGGGGGUUGGAAAGUUUCGGCGGUUGGGGAUGGACUCGCGGCUUAUCAGCUUGUUGGUGGGGUAGUGGCUUACCAAGGCUUUGACGGGUAGCCGGCCUGAGAGGGUGACCGGCGACAUUGGGACUGAGAUACGGCGCAGACUCCUACGGGAGGCAGCAGUGGGGAAUAUUGCACAAUGGGCGGAAGCCUGAUGCAGCAACGCCGCGUGCGGGAUGACGGCCUUCGGGUUGUAAACCGCUUUCGCCUGUGACGAAGCGUGAGUGACGGUAAUGGGUAAAGAAGCACCGGCUAACUACGUG
rnacentral:rRNA from 1 species